GACGAACGCUGGCGGCGUGCUUAACACAUGCAAGUCGAACGGAAAGGCCCUGCUUUUGUGCGGUGCUCGAUUGGCGAACGGGGGAGUAACACGUGAGUAAACUGCCCUUGACUUUGGGAUAACUUCAGGAAACUGGGGCUAAUACCGGGUAGAAGCUCCUGCUGCAUGGUGGGGGUUGGAAAGUUUCGGCGGUUGGGGAUGGACUCGCGGCUUAUCCGCUUGUUUGUGGGGUAGUGGCUUACCAAGGCUUUGACGGGUAGCCGGCCUGAGAGGGUGACCGGCCACAUGGGGACUGAGAGAGGGCGCAGAAGCCAACGGGAGGCAGCAGUGGGGAAUAUUGCACAAUGGGCGGAAGUCUGAGGCAGCAACGCCGCGUGCGGGAUGACGGCCUUCGGGUUGUAAACCGAUUUCGACUGUGACGAAGCGUGAGUGACGGUAAUGGGUAAAGAAGCAACGGCUAACUACGUG
rnacentral:rRNA from 1 species